UCAUGGUUUUUGAUAUCCCUUUAUACUACUGGUUUCAAAGUUUAAAUCUUUUUUCCUUAUUUUUUAGUUUUUUAUAUGAUAGGAGCAAGGAUUGCCGUGUUUUUCUUCCCCUUCACUAUUUAUUUAUUUAUUUUUUUCAGAUUCCUAUGAUAGAUUUGAUGCUUCACAAGCAAAAAGCCUUAUAGACAUCUUCUGUACAAUAUCUUCAAUCAGCAAACACUGAAGUUUGAGGUGUUCAUGGAUGUCGUCUUUGGGAACUUCAUGUUUCUUCUGACUUUCUUCUUUAUGGUUAAGAUAUUUCUCAAUGCAUCAAUCAGCAUCUCCAGAUGCACAAGUGAUUUGCACAAAAAGGCUAACAAGUUGCCAAUUUAAA